GAUGAACGCUGGCGGCGUGCCUAAUACAUGCAAGUAGAACGCUGAAGGAGGAGCUUGCUCUUCUGGAUGAGUUGCGAACGGGUGAGUAACGCGUAGGUAACCUGCCUGGUAGCGGGGGAUAACUAUUGGAAACGAUAGCUAAUACCGCAUGACAACAGUUAUUGCAUGAUAACUGUUUAAAAGGGGCAACUGCUCCACUACCAGAUGGACCUGCGUUGUAUUAGCUAGUUGGUGAGGUAACGGCUCACCAAGGCGACGAUACAUAGCCGACCUGAGAGGGGGAUCGGCCCAACUGGGACUGGGACACGGCCCAGACUCCUACGGGAGGCAGCAGUAGGGGAUCUUCGGCAAUGGACGGAAGGCUGAACGAGCAAAGCCGCGUGGGUGAAGGAGGUUUUCGGAUCGUAAAGAUCUGUUGUAAGAGAAGAAAGAGUGUGAGAGUGGAAAGUUCACACUGUGACGGUAUCUUACCAGAAAGGGACGGCUAACUACGUG
rnacentral:rRNA from 1 species